CGAACGCUGGCGGCAGGCUUAACACAUGCAAGUCGAACGCCCCGCAAGGGGAGUGGCAGACGGGUGAGUAACGCGUGGGAAUCUACCCAUCUCUACGGAAUAACUCAGGGAAACUUGUGCUAAUACCGUAUACGCCCUUCGGGGGAAAGAUUUAUCGGAGAUGGAUGAGCCCGCGUUGGAUUAGCUAGUUGGUGGGGUAAAGGCCUACCAAGGCGACGAUCCAUAGCUGGUCUGAGAGGAUGAUCAGCCACAUUGGGACUGAGACACGGCCCAAACUCCUACGGGAGGCAGCAGUGGGGAAUAUUGGACAAUGGGCGCAAGCCUGAUCCAGCCAUGCCGCGUGAGUGAUGAAGGCCCUAGGGUUGUAAAGCUCUUUCACCGGUGAAGAUAAUGACGGUAACCGGAGAAGAAGCCCCGGCUAACUUC
rnacentral:rRNA from 1 species